rnacentral:pre_miRNA from 1 species
AGUGGGAUAGCUGGGUCAAAUGGUAGUUCCAUUCCAAGUUUUCUGGGGAAUGGAACCAUACUGCUUUCCAUAGUGGUUGUACCAAUUUGCAGUCCCACCAGCAAU